AUGACUUCUACCAAGAUUCUGCUGCUCUUGCUGUCAACAGUUUUGCUGGCCUUGGGCUCUGCUCAGGCCAUCGAUGACAAAGCCCUUCAAAAGGAAGAGGAUACACCCCAAUUAGUAGAUGAUGAACUAUUUGAAGAAAACUCAGAGGAAUCACAAGUAAAACCUCAAGAAGAAAAUGGAGAUCAGAAUGGCAAGCCAGGCAAAGAGGAAGACAAAGGCAAUGGACAAAAGCAGAGGCCUCAUGACCAGAGUGUCCAGGGAGUCCUUGGAAGCCUAUUUAGCAGAGGUGGCCCACAUCACCCUAGUGGCCAACAGGGCCCAGGAGGCCAACAGGGUUCAGGUGGUCAACAAGCCCAGGUGGUCAACAGGGCCCAGGUGGCCAACACUGUCCAGGUGGCCAACAGGGCCCAGGUAGCCAAGGUGGUCAAGGAAGCCAAUAGGGUCCAGGUGGCCAACAGGGCCCAGGUGACCAACACCGUCCAGGUGGCCAAGGUGGUCAAGGAAGCCAACAGGGUCCAGGUGGCCAACAGGGUCCAGGUGGCCAAGGUGGUCAAGGAAGCCAACAGAGUCCAGAAGGCCAACAAGGUCCUGGUGGUCAACAUGGCCCAGGUAGCCUAGGUGGUCAAGGAAGCCAACAGGGUCCAGGUGGCCAGCAGGGCUCAGGUGGCCAAAGAGACCAGCAGGGAAGAAAUGACUAGCAUGGUCAACAUGGUGGCCAGUGACUAGGAAAACCAACUAAAGAAGACCUCCUUCAAUUCUCUAGGUAUUAAUUCUAUUCGUACUAAUCUAGUAAGAUAGUAAUUUCUUUUGAUAUUUCCUAAUAUCUCUUCUUGUUUCUUCCACUCAGAGUUUUUUUGUUUUGUUAUAUUUUGACUCCCUCAUUCUUAUAUUGGCCUACAGCCUUCCCAAGUUUUACCUCCCUUCCCCUCUUCCUCUUGUCUCCUGUGUUCCCUUCCCUUUACUCUCUCCUGGCCUCCUCCUCUCAUCCUGCUUCUUCUGUUCUCUCUUAACAUGAUAUCCUGUCAUGUCCUCUAGUACCCACUAGUAGAAAUACUGACAUAGAUCAUGUCCAGGUCAAAUUAAUAUUUCUGUCUAAAAUUCUUCUCUUUGUCUUAGAAAUUGAGAGAGAUGAACUGGUGACCAUGGAGUUUUCAGUCAUGUCAACGUGGCCUUUCCUUUCUCUGACUUCAAAUCAUCAAUAA
rnacentral:lncRNA from 12 species